rnacentral:rRNA from 1 species
GACGAACGCUGGCGGCGUGCUUAACACAUGCAAGUCGAACGGUAAGGCUCCAGCUUGCUGGGGUACACGAGUGGCGAACGGGUGAGUAACACGUGGGUGACCUGCCCUGCACUUCGGGAUAAGCCUGGGAAACUGGGUCUAAUACCGGAUAGGACCAUGGUGUGGAUACUGUGGUGGAAAGUUUUUUCGGUGUGGGAUGGGCCCGCGGCCUAUCAGCUUGUUGGUGGGGUAAUGGCCUACCAAGGCGGCGACGGGUAGCCGGCCUGAGAGGGUGGACGGCCACAUUGGGACUGAGACACGGCCCAGACUCCUACGGGAGGCAGCAGUGGGGAAUAUUGCACAAUGGGCGGAAGCCUGAUGCAGCGACGCCGCGUGGGGGAUGACGGCCUUCGGGUUGUAAACGCCUUUCACCAUCGACGAAGGGUUUCUGACGGUAGAUGGAGAAGAAGCACCGGCCAACUACGUG